AUUCAAGCCACAGUGUCUUCUAUCUCCAAGCUGGUGAGACACACUGCAGUCCUCUACAGAACAGAAGAGAGACAGUGCACAAGAUUGCUCUUGGGAGCUUGAUGAUGAUUGACAAGGUGUACUCUGGUCCUUGCCUGCCUCUGCAGGCUUCUCUCUUCUCGAACGCACUCUAGUCUAAGCUCCAGACACAAAUUGUCGUUGCCCUGAGUGGACCAUGUUCCCUCUCACCUCCCCACGUUUGCAGAAGCUUUCUUCAAAUCCCCAGAGCUGCCUUUUCUGUGACUAGUCCCCAUUUGUCCUUUAUUCACAGUUUAACCUCUCAAAAACCUGCCUGGAAACCCACCCCCAGAAGGGCUAAUGGACCCUCACUAGGUCUUCCUAUACCAUCAUCCGCUUCCCCAGUUAAAAUUGUACUUAGCGUAUUUGUGAAAUGAAUAACUGGAUGACUUUCUCCAUGCUGGGCAUUGUGCUAAAUGUUUCAAGUACAUAAGGCAUUCAAAUCUAGAAGAGCCCCGUGUUUGGUCCUAUUAUUAUCCCCAUUUUACAGACAAUGAAAUUGAGGUUUCAAGAGGGUAAGUCAUUCCCAUGCUGUCCAGUUAAUCUAUUUUGAAUGGAUGUGGAUAUUCAGGAGAAUCUGAUGAGAUGGGCUGAUCUGAUUCUCUCUCGGAUGCCCUAUGAUUUGGCACUACUUGGGGGCUCAGGGGCCUGAUGGAGCUGUGAUCACAACCUGGCUCUUCACUAAUUAGCUGGUGUCAAUGACCAGCACACUUUAGCCCUGAGUCCGUUUCCUCUUUGGCAAAUUGGCAAAAUAAUGACUACCUUCCCAACUGUUAUGAGGACAAAAAAAUGAGAAGCUGUUGAGAAAGCACGUAGCACCACAUCCAGCAUUUAAAAAACAAAUUUUUUAAAGUAAAAGAUGAGGAGUUUCCCUUUCCUUAAAGGAAGUAAUCUGUCUCUGCUACCUUGUGCCACAGUUAAACUGCACAGGCUCAAUAACUUAUGUUUUGGUUAAACGUUUUUAAUUUUUUUAGAGUGAAAUCCGAGUUUUUGUUGGCAAGUGAUUGAACACGCUGGGCCCAGCCUGCAGGCCCACAGUCCAUUAGGAAAUUUACGAGGCGAGAUGGGGACCUUCAGCUCAAGUACUCCCUUCAGACGCAGUACUUACAAAGCCAUCAAUUUCCUUAACAAAGAGCAUUGGCUUAAAUGCCCCUUAAAGCAGUGUUAUUUACACAGCUAUCCACUUCCUUUUGAAUUCUCUGCCUGGGGGGUGGCAGACCUGCAGUUCUUUCCAGCUACGAGUUAAUUAGGCUCUCUCCCCAAAUGGAAGCAAGCCGCAGACUGAGAUUUGGUAUUAAAAAGCAGCUCAAUUUGGGGCCAUCCGAGAGUCUUAUGGGGUGAUCCAAAUACCACCAAAAUCACUGGUUCCACCCACCCAUUCUUCUAAAAUUCUAAAGCCUUUGGACCUUACCAAAGAGUAAUGACCUCUGUCAGUAUAGAGAUAGAGAAGGAAAGGCAGCAUUUGAGCCCGUCUCUACUUAGUGAAAGAAGCCUCAAAAAAGUACUGCUGGCUAAGAUAGCAUACUUUCUACCUCUUGGUGUAUCGAUAUAGUAACAUUAACAUUUUAAAGAAGCCCCCACCCCUUUUGUGGGGGAACUAGGAUUUGGAUACAAGCAGCCCAGUUCAGGGGUCUGAGCAUGAAACCACCACCCCAAGCCACCUGACCCAAGAUAACCUGCCCGAGAUGACAGCUAAGGGGGAAAGUCUCCUAUUCAAACAGGAUUGUCUGACUCUAAAGACCAGCAAAGCUCAACUACACUUUCUUGCCUGAAAAAUAAAACUGUCUCUUAAGAAAU
rnacentral:lncRNA from 1 species